CCCUCACUGAGUCCUUUUCUGAGGAGUGGUAGAAAUUUAUGGAUUAAUAUGAGAAGAAACAAUGCACAGAACUGACAUGAUACUACUUUUGUCUUUACAUAGGUAAAUAGACAUGUUUUGUCAGACAUUC
rnacentral:snoRNA from 1 species